GACGAACGCUGGCGGCGUGCCUAAUACAUGCAAGUAGGACGCUGAAGAGAGGAGCUUGCUCUUCUUGGAUGAGUUGCGAACGGGUGAGUAACGCGUAGGUAACCUGCCUUGUAGCGGGGGAUAACUAUUGGAAACGAUAGCUAAUACCGCAUAACAAUGGAUGACACAUGUCAUUUAUUUGAAAGGGGCAAUUGCUCCACUACAAGAUGGACCUGCGUUGUAUUAGCUAGUAGGUGAGGUAACGGCUCACCUAGGCGACGAUACAUAGCCGACCUGAGAGGGUGAUCGGCCACACUGGGACUGAGACACGGCCCAGACUCCUACGGGAGGCAGCAGUAGGGAAUCUUCGGCAAUGGGGGCAACCCUGACCGAGCAACGCCGCGUGAGUGAAGAAGGUUUUCGGAUCGUAAAGCUCUGUUGUAAGUCAAGAACGAGUGUGAGAGUGGAAAGUUCACACUGUGACGGUAGCUGACCAGAAAGGGACGGCUAACUACGUG
rnacentral:rRNA from 1 species